CAGUUAUAUGUAUAAGAGCAUCUUACUAGUGUGUGUGAAAGCAUCUUACCUGUGUAUGUGAGAGGAUUUCACUAGAGUGUAUGAGCGACACUGCAUUCCGGUUCCGGUCACCUAUAAUGCCCGCCCAUUUUCAAUUUUUUUUUUUUUUUUUUUUUUAAGCGGAGUUGUUUGUGAAAAAAAUGUCUGCCGAACUACCAACAAGUAGCUUCACAGAGGCACCACCCGCAGCAUUAUCGAGCGCCUCUUCUACCACACGGACAUCGGGUCAAGAGGAGGAAAAGAGUCACCACGCAUGACCAUUUCAACAAGGACGGAAUACACAACCUCUGGGUUCAUGGAAGUUGGCUUCCAAACAACUUCUCUGCAUCUCAACGGAAGGAGGCAGACACCAUUUCAGAUGUGGCAUUCAGGUGUCAUUAUUAAUGCACGAAUCCAUCCAGCUAUAAGAAGCAUUUUGAUGCUGACAACUACUUUGACAUUGAUGAAGAAGGUCCACUACCUGAACUCCAGACAAAUAAUAUUGUAAUUCCAAACAUAGAUUUAAACAUUAGUGAGACGAUAAUGAACAUUUUUCAACAAGUGAACCCACUUGAAAAUGAUGGGAAUUGUGGAAUAGACAUUUUCACUUAAAUUCUGCACUUUAUUCAGUGAACAACAUGGGAAUUAUAUGGUUUGUUAAAAUGUUUUUUUCACUUGUGCAGUGUAUUCUGCGAAUUAAGGUUUUGUUUAAACAUUUUGUAAAAAAUUAAUAAAAAACAACCUGUUACACAGACCUGUA